rnacentral:tRNA from 1 species
AUCUUUAUUCUCGUCCGAUUAAUUAGUUAGACAAAAGAACUAUCAGACCGUGAGGUAAAUGCUUUGAUCA